AAAAAGUACAGAAAUAUAAGCUAUGAAUCGUUCUUCUAUGAGGGUUUCAGUUAAAUUGCCAUUUUUGUGACUUAAAUAAAACCAACUCAUAAUGGAAUUUCUAUUAAAAUUACAAUUUAUUCUUAUUCUAAUUCUGUCUAUUGGAAAAUCUGGAAAAUGUGUUGACCAAAAAUAUUCCACAACUAUCACAAGUAGUGAGUUUUGUGGCAAGAACAUCUGUUGCAUGAAAUAUUUCGAUAUCUGUUAUGAACUCUAUGAAUUUCCAACUGAAGCUUUUUUUAAUUGUAUCGAAGACUGCGAACAAAGUGCCGGAGUAACUUUACCUAUAUUACCGAUAUGUCUAGAUCCAGUGGAAGAGCUAAGAAGGGUUGAUAUAUAAGAUGUCCGUAAUUUUCAGUGAAUCUAGGGAUCAGUGGAACCGUGGAACAAAUAUUGGAUAUGAGUGACCCAAGUAAAGUACUACGUUCACUACACAAUAUUAAAAAUUUGUUUCGUGCCUCACUUGAAAGAUAUCAUUUUUUUAAAAUAUCAAGAAUUAAAAAAGAUGUAUAUAUUUUAAAUAAAAGUUUUAAGUUUGACUUCA